rnacentral:rRNA from 1 species
UACGUAGGGUGCAAGCGUUGUCCGGAAUUAUUGGGCGUAAAGAGCUCGUAGGCGGUCUGUCGCGUCGGCUGUGAAAACCCGAGGCUCAACCUCGGGCCUGCAGUCGAUACGGGCAAACUAGAGUACUGCAGGGGAGACUGGAAUUCCUGGUGUAGCGGUGAAAUGCGCAGAUAUCAGGAGGAACACCGGUGGCGAAGGCGGGUCUCUAGGCAGUAACUGACGCUGAGGAGCGAAAGCGUGGGGAGCGAACAGG